rnacentral:lncRNA from 1 species
AAAUAAAUAAUAAUUUAAAAAAAGAGUCUGGAAUAAUGCUUGAUCUUCCAACUUGAGCAGGUGGCCUUGGCUGAUGGUGCUCUCGUCAUCAGCUUUGGAUCAAUCCUUGAGAUUUUUAGGAGAAGUUCAGCACCUGGAACAACAAACCCACCUAAAACGGGCUUGGGGUGAUGCCAAGCAGAGGCACGAGGCAGCAAGGCUGCGCGGUCGGGAAGGAAGGCUGGGAGCCAACCUGGUGAUCGGAGGCUGGGAAGCAAAGCUGGAGAGAAGCUGUGCAUAACCCCCUUACGCAUCUGUCCUGGUUUGGGGCUGGGAACCAGCUUGAAAAGCCCACCAGCUCCACAUUUCUUAGCAGCAAACCCAAACUGUCACUUCACAUCCCCUGUGGUGCAACAGAAGGGUGAUAAAAAUAUCUAUAUAUACAUCAAAAAAUAUCUAUGGCUGCUUUGUUUCCUUUUUUUUUGUAGAACUACCGCUCCUGUUCUCUGUUGAGCGCCCAGAGAAACGCUCUGGUGUGUGUGGCGUGGUGAUGGAGCGAGCUUUGUAGUGUUUAUCAUCCCGAAUUGAAAGGAAAAUCCCUUUCCUUGUGGUGAUGGCAGGCGUCACCUUGGGCAUGAAGGCGGUUUCUGCAGGGAGAGGUGGCACUUGGGAAGUUGGGUGGCUUUUCCUUGGGGUGCGGAGCUCUGGGAUGGGUUAAGGUGGAGACAAAAGGGCAAGGACACCUGGGGAAUAGGGAGAAGGGUCCAGAAGAGAUGCCCUGCCUGACACGGGAGGCAUGUGGGGCUAUGGGUAAGCGGGGCCAUGCACCGGGAAACACAAUCCCACCCAAAACAGCCUUGGGGAGCAUCAAGGAGACCGCGGAGAUGCAGAAUGAAGAGGCAGGGGUGGGAAGUUCUCUCCAAGCACGGACUGGGUGAUGGGGACCUGGACCUGGAUUUCUGGAUGAUCCAAAACUCUCCCUGCCCCACCGUGCAGGUGCCAGCGUGAGCACCCAGGACAUCUGCAGCUCCCCAGGUGAUGUUGAGCAUCGGGAUGGGUCCAGAAAUGAGCUGUGGAGGGGGGGAUGAUGAGAAAGGAGAGGGGUUUGGUUCCCUGGGGACAAACCCUUGGAGAACAGACUCUUUCCUCCCCAGUCCUUGGCACUUUGCAGCCCUGCUGCCAUAACUGAUGGCUCGUGGCAUCCCUGCAC